rnacentral:rRNA from 1 species
AUUGAACGCUGGCGGCAGGCCUAACACAUGCAAGUCGAGCGGAUGAAGGGAGCUUGCUCCUGGAUUCAGCGGCGGACGGGUGAGUAAUGCCUAGGAAUCUGCCUGGUAGUGGGGGAUAACGUCCGGAAACGGGCGCUAAUACCGCAUACGUCCUGAGGGAGAAAGUGGGGGAUCUUCGGACCUCACGCUAUCAGAUGAGCCUAGGUCGGAUUAGCUAGUUGGUGGGGUAAAGGCCUACCAAGGCGACGAUCCGUAACUGGUCUGAGAGGAUGAUCAGUCACACUGGAACUGAGACACGGUCCAGACUCCUACGGGAGGCAGCAGUGGGGAAUAUUGGACAAUGGGCGAAAGCCUGAUCCAGCCAUGCCGCGUGUGUGAAGAAGGUCUUCGGAUUGUAAAGCACUUUAAGUUGGGAGGUAGAGCAGUAAGUUAAUACCUUGCUGUUUUGACGUUACCAACAGAAUAAGCACCGGCUAACUUCGUG